rnacentral:tRNA from 1 species
GCCCGUGUAGCUCAAUGGAAGAGCAACAGUCUACGAAGCUGUAGGUUGCAGGUUCAAUCCCUGUCUCGGGCU